UACGUAGGGGGCAAGCGUUGUCCGGAUUUACUGGGCGUAAAGCGCGUGUAGGCGGUUCGGUCAGUCUGUCGUGAAAGCUCCUCGCUUAACGGGGAGAGGUCGAUGGAAACUGCCGGACUUGAGGACGGUAGAGGGGGGUGGAAUUCCCGGUGUAGUGGUGAAAUGCGUAGAUAUCGGGAGGAACACCAGCGGCGAAGGCGGCCCCCUGGGCCGCUCCUGACGCUGAGACGCGAAGGCCAGGGUAGCGAACGGG
rnacentral:rRNA from 1 species